CCGUUCCUUUUUGCUAAGUUUAGAAUAAUUUUUCGAAUUUAGAAGUAAGAUGAUUCACGCCGGAUAUAAAGAAAAUGAAUUUAUUUUUAAUUCCAACAAAAAUGAUUUACAAAAACAUUUGUAAAUUUAGUUAUUGAAUUUAUAUGCAUUGCAUAUUUAUUUAAUUUAGCAUUUAAGUAUUUUCACGAGCUAUUUAUUUAACGAACCCUGAAGUAUUAUUACAGUCCCGGUAUUUUAUGUUCCUAAUAGCCACCCUUUAUCAUGAUUAUUUUUUUUAUUUUUUCAUACAUGUCACAAUCAAAUCAUAUCUUAAAUCAUAUCUUAUCAAAUUUUCCACUUUCUUUCCUCCCACCAUACCCCCUUCUCCUACUAAUCCGACAGCAAAUAAUCUCCAAAAUCUUUCACAAUCUCUCUUUCCACCCACACUAAAGCUUGUCUGCCAUAUCUUAUGCUCAAAUUAAUUUAUUCCUACAUUAUUUCACAAAAUCUUUCACAAUCUCUCUCUCGCAAGUAGCAGAAUUCAGGAGCAAAAGAUAAUUUCAUAGCUCCAUUUAAGGAAUAUCAGCAGCUCGAUUCCAGCAACCAAGCAAAUCCAGAAUCAAACAACACCCAUUUCACAUCCUAAGUUCCUAAAGGCUUUGAGCAUCAGGAGGAUUAGCACUGCUAUUUCGAUUCAGAGAUAAGGUUAAACGACAGGCUUUGCCUAGAGAGGUGGGCUUAUUUUUCAAAUGUAUGAUUUAGCUAUUGAGCUUAAAUAUUCGUGUAAUAUAAACUGUUUAUCCAAUAAAAUAUUUUUGUGCACUCUACCAUGUUUAAGGCUCGUACAGUUAAUCAAUUGAGGUUCUCUUAUGACCUAACACGUUGUUUGAGAAUUGUGUACACUUGUUAGCUGACUCGGUGGGUUGAUCUCCAUCGGGCACUAACCAGAGGCGUUAUAAGGGUGCUCGACGGGAUGUGUUCCGGAGCAUAGAAAUGAUAGGCCUGUCUGGAUUAAUUUCCGAGGUUUAUUAUACUUGACUGGGUUACGCCCUCAGUUCAAGUCAGCGGGAGACAGAGAUCCGUCGGUGGCUAGAGGUCCGGGAUCACAGCGAGUAACAGAAUGGAGUGUGCAAACGCGCGCAAAAUAAUUAAGUAUAUAUAUAUAUAUAUGAAAAUGUUUUAACAUGCAUAGAAGUUAUUUCUCUUUAAAACCUUCUAUGUCAUGUCAGUAAGAUUGGAUAAACUGUUCUUCAGAUUAUGAAAUGCUUUAAAAGUUGCAGCCCACUAAGUACAUUAGUACUUAGCCCAAAAUUACUUUCAAAUGUUUUCAGGUUAAUGGCUGGUGAUGACGGGGCAGAGCUGAGGCUAGGGUUCAACUCCGUAUUUUGUCUUCCGCUAUUGCACUAGCUUUUAUUUGUCUUUUGUUUCUCCAACUUAAGACUUUUAUGUUAAAUUCUGAAUUAUGUUUUUAUUGAGCUUAAACUCUCAACUUCUAGCUCUAUGUUAUUUAACGUUGGUUAUCGGAAGCAUGAA